ensembl:lncRNA
AUACACUACACCAACUGAAUUCACCCAUCAUGUCUGCAGCCUUUGGGGAAACACAUACCUGGCUGAAUAUUCAGGUGGUCUGCCUCAUCUUUUAUGUAUUUCUCUCUGUAGAAUGUCCUGUCAAUCAGAGACUCACCUCACUCCUUGCCCAGCAUGACCUUCAACCAAAGCUUCUCUUUUGAGGCUGUGAAGGAAUCUGUCUCUGGAGUGAAGGUGCAGCUGGAGGAGAAACUGGAUGACAUCUUCAGGCAGGAAGUAGUCAAGAUAUCUGUAGCAGGUGGAUAAACAUGUAGAACUGACUCAAUGAUGAAUUCCUUAUUUCACAGUUUGAGAAGACAAGGAUCCCACUUAUUUUGAUGUAUUUUCCUGUAUCUCUCAACAGUAACAGAUAUCCAGAUCAUCCAGUCCUUAGAAUUGUCUGAAGUCCAGGCUGUUUUUCCUGAACCAGUGACCAGAGAGGAGUUCUCACAGUACUCCUGUCACUUCACACUGGAUCCAAACACAGCAUACAGACUCCUCCAUCUGUCUGAGGGGAACAGGAGGGUGGAAUGUAGAGCUGAGGUCCAGUCAUAUCCUGAUCAUC